UGAAUACGAGAUGCUACGGCGUCGAAGCAGUCUAUGUCAUACUUCCAAGAAAAGCUUGCACUGUCAUAAACAAAUAAUGCCUGUACCAUAACCGACACAGGUGGGUAGGUAGAGUAUACUAAGGGGCGCGAGAUAACUCUCUCUAAGGAACUCGGCAAAAUGACUCCGUAACUUCGGGAGAAGGAGUGCCUUAUUUAUAAGGUUGCAAUAACAAGAUCCAAGCAACUGUUUACCAAAAACACAGGUCUCCGCUAAGUCGUAAGACGACGUAUGGGGGCUGACGCCUGCCCAGUGCCAGAAGGUUAAAGAAGUUGGUUAGCAUCCGCGAAGCUGAUAACUGAAGCCCUGGUGAACGGCGGCCGUAACAAUAACGGUCCUAAGGUAGCGAAAUUCCUUGUCGGGUAAGUUCCGACCCGCACGAAAGGCGUAAUGAUUUGGAUACUGUCUCGGAGAGGGGCUCGGUGAAAUAGACUUGUCUGUGAAGAUGCGGACUACCUGCACCAGGACAGAAAGACCCUAUGAAGCUUUACUGUAACCUGAAAUUGAAAUUGGACUUUACUUGCGCAGUAUAGGUGGGAGGCGUUGAGAAUAUUCUUGCGGGAUUAUUGGAGCCAUCAGUGAGAUACCACUCUUGUAAUGUUAGAUUUCUAACUUUGUAUCAUUAUCUGGUCAAAGAACAGUUUCAGGCGGGCAGUUUGACUGGGGCGGUCGCCUCCUAAACGGUAACGGAGGCGCACAAAGGUUUCCUCUGAACGGGUAGAAAUCGUAUCUAGAGUGUAAAGGCAUAAGGAAGCUUGACUGUGAGACCUACAAGUCGAGCAGGGACGAAAGUCGGUCUUAGUGAUCUGACGGUGCUGAGUGGAAAGGCCGUCACUCAACGGAUAAAAGUUACUCUAGGAUAACAGGCUGAUCUCCCCCAAGAGUUCACAUCGACGGGGAGGUUUGGCACCUCGAUGUCGGCUCAUCGCAUCCUGGGGCGGUAGUACGUCCCAAGGGUUGGGCUGUUCGCCCAUGAAAGCGGUACGCGAGCUGGGUUCAGAACGUCGUGAGACAGUUCGGUCCAUAUCCGGUGUAGGCGUUAGAAUAUUGAGAGGAGCCUUCUUUAGUACGAGAGGACCGAGAAGGACAUACCUCUGGUGUACCAGUUAUCGUGCCAACGGUAAACGCUGGGUAGCUAUGUGUGGAGUGGAUAACCGCUGAAAGCAUCUAAGUGGGAAGCCCACCUCAAGAUAAGUAUUC
rnacentral:rRNA from 1 species